CCUUGAGCUCACUAUGUAGACCAGUCUGGCCUCAAACUCACAGAGAUCAUCCUGUCUCAGCCUCCUGAGUGCUAGGAU
rnacentral:miRNA from 1 species